rnacentral:rRNA from 1 species
UUGCUUCGGCGGGCCCGCCAUUCAUGGCCGCCGGGGGCUCUCAGCCCCGGGCCCGCGCCCGCCGGAGACACCACGAACUCUGUCUGAUCUAGUGAAGUCUGAGUUGAUUGUAUCGCAAUCAGUUAAAACUUUCAACAAUGGAUCUCUUGGUUCCGGCAUCGAUGAAGAACGCAGCGAAAUGCGAUAACUAGUGUGAAUUGCAGAAUUCCGUGAAUCAUCGAGUCUUUGAACGCACAUUGCGCCCCCUGGUAUUCCGGGGGGCAUGCCUGUCCGAGCGUCAUUGCUGCCCAUCAAGCACGGCUUGUGUGUUGGGUCGUCGUCCCCUCUCCGGGGGGGACGGGCCCCAAAGGCAGCGGCGGCACCGCGUCCGAUCCUCGAGCGUAUGGGGCUUUGUCACCCGCUCUGUAGGCCCGGCCGGCGCUUGCCGAACGCAAAUCAAUCUUUUUCCAGGUUGACCUCGGAUCAGGUAGGGAUACCCGCUGAACUUAA